rnacentral:rRNA from 1 species
CGAGCUGCGGCCAGUAAAGAGUAUUAUACCGUGAAACUGCGAAUGGCUCAUUAAAUCAGUUAUCGUUUAUUUGAUAGUACCUUACUACUUGGAUAACCGUGGUAAUUCUAGAGCUAAUACAUGCUGAAAACCCCGACUUCGGAAGGGGUGUAUUUAUUAGAUAAAAAACCAAUGCCCUUCGGGGCUCUUUGGUGAGUCAUGAUAACUUCUCGGAUCGCAUGGCCUUGCGCCGGCGACGGUUCAUUCAAAUUUCUGCCCUAUCAACUUUCGAUGGUAAGGUCUUGGCUUACCAUGGUUUCAACGGGUAACGGGGAAUUAGGGUUCGAUUCCGGAGAGGGAGCCUGAGAAACGGCUACCACAUCCAAGGAAGGCAGCAGGCGCGCAAAUUACCCAAUCCCGACACGGGGAGGUAGUGACAAUAAAUACUGAUACAGGGCUCUUUUGGGUCUUGUAAUUGGAAUGAGUACAAUUUAAACCUCUUAACGAGGAACAAUUGGAGGGCAAGUCUGGUGCCAGCAGCCGCGGUAAUUCCAGCUCCAAUAGCGUAUAUUAAAGUUGUUGCAGUUAAAAAGCUCGUAGUUGAACCUUGGGCCUGGCUGGCGGGUCCGCCUCACCGCGUGUACUCGACCGGCCGGGCCUUUCCUUCUGGAGAACCUCAUGCCCUUCACUGGGUGUGCUGGGGAACCAGGACUUUUACUGUGAAAAAAUUAGAGUGUUCAAAGCAGGCCUUUGCUCGAAUACGUUAGCAUGGAAUAAUAGAAUAGGACGUGCGGUCCUAUUUUGUUGGUUUCUAGGACCGCCGUAAUGAUUAAUAGGGACAGUCGGGGGCAUCAGUAUUCAAUUGUCAGAGGUGAAAUUCUUGGAUUUAUUGAAGACUAACUACUGCGAAAGCAUUUGCCAAGGAUGUUUUCAUUAAUCAGUGAACGAAAGUUAGGGGAUCGAAGACGAUCAGAUACCGUCGUAGUCUUAACCGUAAACUAUGCCGACUAGGGAUCGGGCGUUGUUUAUACCUUGACACGCUCGGCACCUUACGAGAAA